rnacentral:lncRNA from 10 species
CUUGCCUUGUCUUGGAAGAGACUUUAGAUUGUGGACUUUUGAGUUCAUGCUGAAAUGAGUUAAGAUUUUUGGGGACUGUUGGGAAGUCACGAUUGGUUUUGAAAUGUGAGGACAUGAGAUUUGGGAGGGGCCAGGGGCAGAAUGAUAUGGUUUGGCCGUGUCCCCACUCAAAUCUCAUCUUGAAUUCCCACGUGUUGUGGGAGGUACCUGGUGGGAGGUAAUUGAAUCAUGGGGUCAGGUCUUUCCUGGGCUGUUCUCAUGAUAGUGAAUAAGUCUCAUGAGAUCUGAUGGUUAUAUAAGGGGGAGUUUUCCUGCACAAGCUCUCUUCUGUUGUCUGCUGCCAUGUGAGACGAGCAUUUCACCUUCUGCCAUGAUCGUGAGCUUCCCCAGCCACAUGGAACUAUGUGGAAACUCAAAUAAAGAGAGGUGAAAGAGUCCCCAGGACAACACAAAAAGGUGACAGAGCCACUGAAUUUAAAUCCAUACCCUCUAAUUCAAGGAAAUGAAAGAAGAGUUUUGAAGAGACAGCUGCCCUCCAUGCUCACGGCAGCAUCAUUCAAAACAGCUAAGAUGAAGAAACAACUAAAAAAGUCUGUUGAGAAAUGAAUAAAGAAAUACAAUAAUUUGUUUUUUUCUUCUUCCCACUUUCAACUUGUGAGACCCCAUCACUGCCUUUUGGACUCUUGCUUCUUUUCUGAUUCAUGUUCCUGUUCACCAUCACCUGCCCCACAGCACCCUCACAGGAAAAGAAAAAAAAAAGCCAAAACAAAACCGAUCUCUUUGUUCACUGGAUCAAAAGUCUUUUAUUAUAGUGCAUUCAGACAUUCAGAAUACAUAUAUGAGGCCUGCU